GCCCGGCUAGCUCAGUCGGUAGAGCAUGAGACUCUUAAUCUCAGGGUCGUGGGUUCGAGCCCUGCGGAGGUGAACG